GAUGAACGCUGGCGGCGUGCCUAAUACAUGCAAGUCGAGCGAACAGACGAGGAGCUUGCUCCUCUGACGUUAGCGGCGGACGUGUGAGUAACACGUGGAUAACCUACUUAUAAGACUGGUAUAACUUCGGGAAACCGGAGCUAAUCCCGGAUAAUAUAUUGAACCGCAUGGUUGGAUAGUGAAAGACGGUUUUGCUGGCACUUAUCGAUGGAUCCGCGCCGCAUUAGAUGGUUGGUAAGGUAACGGGCUACCAAGGCAACUAUGCGUAGACGACGUGAGGGAGGGAUAGCCCGCCUGGGAGGUGAGACAGGGUCCAUACUCCUGAGGGACGCAGCAGAAGCCAAUCGGCCGCAAUGGUGGGGAGUCUGGCGGAGCAACGCCGCGUGUGAGACGAAAGUCCCGGGUGCGGGAAACCGUGUUAUUAGGGAAGAACAAAUUUGUAAGGAGCUAUGCACGUCUUGACGGUACCUAGUCAGAAAGCCACGGCUAACUACGUG
rnacentral:rRNA from 1 species